UACGGAGGAUGCGAGCGUUAUCCGGAUUUAUUGGGUUUAAAGGGUGCGCAGGCGGUCUGUUAAGUCAGCGGUCAAAGCCCGGGGCUCAACCCCGGCCCGCCGUUGAAACUGGCAGUCUUGAGUACAGUAGAGGUGGGCGGAAUUCGUGGUGUAGCGGUGAAAUGCUUAGAUAUCACGAAGAACUCCGAUUGCGAAGGCAGCCUGCUGGACUGUAACUGACGCUGAUGCUCGAAAGCGUGGGGAUCGAACAGG
rnacentral:rRNA from 1 species